rnacentral:tRNA from 1 species
GCCAAGGUAGCCAAGUUGGUCACGGCGCGUGUCUGAAAAACACGUUAUACAGGUUCGAUUCCUGUCCUUGGCACAA